CGGAGAGGUGCCUGCAGCAGGGUCUCUGCGGGAACAGCCGGCUGCAGAAACCUCCCCGAGCACCCCCGACCUUGGGCACGGGCGAGCGGAACCCCCGGGGAGAGGGUCCACAGGAGGCGAGGGGCUGUCAGGGACAGGGACAGCGACAGCGACAGGGGAAGGGACAGGGACAGGGGCAGGGGCAGGGACAGCGACAGGGACAGGGACAGGGACAGGGACAGGGACAGGGGCAGGGACAGGGACAGGGGCAGGGACAGGGACAGGGACAGGGGCAGGGACAGGGACAGGGGCAGGGACAGGGACAGGGACAGGGGCAGGGACAGGGACAGGGGCAGGGACAGGGACAGGGACAGGGGCAGGGACAGGGGCAGGGACAGCGACAGGGACAGCGCGGGGCACGGACGGGCGGCAGGAGCAGAGGAUGGGGAGGGCAGCAGGGAAAGGCGAGGGGGAGCAGGCGAGGCCCUGCGGAAACACGAGAGACAGCGAGGUGCAGGGGGUCCGUGCCGGGACAGGCAGCGCGGCCGGAGCCGGGGAGCGGAGCACCGAGAGCCCCGUGGGAGGCAGCCCCGGUGUCCCGGCUGGCCCGGGGGACAGGAGCCGCGAUCCCCGGCAGGACGGUGCAAACCCAGACCCACCCAUCAUGUCUUCAGAACAACCUCAAGAUGGGGAAGAAACUCUGCUCUGAGCUUUUUCUGCAGCUCCUCAGUGUUGUGUCCAUGCACUCAGCCGGCUGUGGCUUUGUGCUGGUUGGGAUUUCGCUCCUCUGUUUACUCUGGGAGUGCCACAACCUGUCACGUUUCACGGGAGCAGCUCCUCAGCGCGCAGCAGACAGACAAGCUUGUGUUUGCCAGCCCAGGUAACAGCACUCCUUUGGAAGGAUGAGGACAGAAAUCACAAGGAUUGUUCCACAGCUGUUUGGCUUGUUUUUCUUGAAAACUGGAGAAAUACUGGACUGACUGAACUUCCCCUCCUCCCCUAGGCACCACUUGCUCCUGCAGACAGGGCUUUUAUCCUGGAAUCUGCCCCACUCCGUGUUAGAGGAGGGGAGCCCUCCUGCAUGCACAGUGCCCCCUGUGCCAGGAGGCGAGUGGGGGGCUUCCCUCUCCUUGGGGAUCCAGCCUUGCUGCUGGCCACACUUCAGGGCAUUCUCAGCACGUGGAAAUGUUGUUGAAAGUUGCCACGUCAGAACAAUUGUAAUAAGUAUUUGUAAGUGCAUAGAGCCUGUCCUGCUUUUGGUGGAGUCCUUCAGGAGUGGUCCAUGGAACUUCAGCUGAGGUUGCCAGGAGGGUGGUCACUUUAGACCUGGUGCUGGCUGCCCAUCUCUGCUGCACUCUGAAUUUGGUGGGUGCAGCAGACUCAGCCCCACACAGUGGGGGACUCUAACUGCAUUUUCAAGUUGGGAAAAGACACUGGAAUGAGCAGGACUUUGAGUGGAUUGGUGCUGUAAGUCAUUUCAGAUACAUGGAACUGGAAAUUCAAAUGUGAUCACAGGUGCUGUGUGGUUGCUCCUAGAGACGUUCCCGUACUAGAGAUGUUUGCAUUUGUACAUUCAGUCUGCAAUAUUCGUGCUACAAACUGUCUCAGAGGGUUGUGUUUUCUGUGUCCAUACCCACACAUUCACUCAGGUCUAUUAAAUACUGUACCAGUCUGUGCAGCUCCUUCCAUUUGUGCCAGUGGUUUAACUGUAGGAAUAACCCCUGCCAGUGCAGCGAGCCCUGAGCUUCAGUGUCUGUCCCUGCCUGCCAGGGCUGACUGAUGUGCUGAGUGUUUGUGCCACUAAAGCUGCCUUGAGCAGGUACCCCUGUAAAGCUCCUGCCCUGGGCACACCUGGGCGUGCAGACACACCGGUGGCAAUUCCAGGGUUGCAGGUGAGCAAAGACAGAGAGGGAUGCAGGGAUUUGCCUUUGCAGAGAUACCCUGGGAGCCCCUCCAGGGCUGCAGGAGACCCAGGGCAUCAGAGAAGGCUUUGGUGAACAGAGCAGUGUGACUGUAAGGAACUGGAAUGCAGACAGUUCAUUAUUUGACAUUCUUCAAGUAUUUAUAAGUGACUCUUAUGUGUAUGGUUGUAACAGUUGGGGGAAAGAAUCCUAUGGUUAGGAACACAUAUGUGGACUUCCAAAACAUAAGUGUCCCUGUCAUUUGAGCAGGCAGAAGUUUGGUAAGCAAAACCAUAGAAAUGGAUAAUUGUACAGGUUUGGAAAAGCUUCCCAUGGUUCUUUCUCCUCUCCUAUAUGGUGCUAAUUAGUAAUUAACUUCAAAGUGAAAAGUAGGUUGCACUUUGGGAAAAACAAGAUGUGCAGCAAAAAGGAAAAAAGAGUAAUUAUUAAAGUGAGCAUAUGUGAGCAAAGCAAA